CCGCCCGCCGCCGCCACCACUUGGUAUCGCCCGGCCGCCGCGGGGCAGGAAGUGCGGGGCGCCGGGGAAAAGUUUCUCUCUCUGUUUUGCUGUUUUUUUUUUUUUAAUUCUCCUUUUUUUUAUCUAUAUAUUUUUUUCAUUUUUUUUAAUUUUUUUUCCUUCCUUCCUUUUUUUUUUUUUUUUCCCUCUGUCUUUUAAUCCCAGUGCGAACAAGGAAGCGCUCUGCCGCAGGCCCUACAACGAGUUCUGCCACCGCAGCCAACGCGUCCCCCCCCGCCCCAGCCGUGCCCACGGGGCCGGGCAGGUGGAUCCCUACGGGUGCGCUGCCGCCGGCCGGGGACGGCCGCCCGCACGGCGAACCCCGCCGCAAAAUGGAGGGGAUUGAGGGCUCGGUGCUAAGCUGCUUCUCGAGGGAGGUGAUGGGAAGCCUUGCUCAGAGCUACGGCCUGCAGAGCGCGCGGGGGAACGAAUCCUUCCUUUAGGAUAUUUGUUUUUCCCUCAGCUCCUGCCCGGUGCGCUUUCAAGUCAGGAACGUAUGGAGAACGGAACGCCGUUCCCGUCGUGCCUUAUCGGCGGCUUUCACUCUGCCUUCCUUCAUAGGAGCCCAAGCGAGCACAUUCGGUGCGGGUGCGAGAUAAGAACCGAGCAGAGCUGAAAUCGGGGCCACGCCAGGGAAGGAAAAAAGAAGAUACUGAGAGAUUUCAGCAACAAACCUCGGGAGGCACAAAAAGCCCGCUGCCUCCAAGCUGCACCUUUUCAAAGCUUAUCUCCAUACCUCCACUGGCAGAUUUUGUUGUGACCAAAAACAAGAUGUCAGUCAAAACCUUCACCACCACUACUUGGGAGGACGUUAAGCACUAAUUCCUGAUGAGGAGCAAUCCCUGACUGACAACAGUCUCUUGGGAAACGCCAGGGAAGGAAGGACAGCCUCCCAGAGCUGCUUACAAGCUCCCUGUGUGAUGAGAGGCUGCAAACACACACACAUGGACAGCAAGCCCUGUGUUUGGAAGUUAAAAUUCAUAAAACAUUUCAGUUGGAAGGGACAUUUAAAGGCCAUCUGGUGCAGCUCCCCUGCAACGAACAGGAACACCUACAGCUCCAUCAGUAUCUUCCAGAGCACUUUCCUGGCCUGUUUUCAACGACCUUGGAGGGUGAGGAGAGAUGAGACGGUGGUAUUUGCCAUACCCAUGAGAGUUUCUUUGUCUGGUUCGAAUGACGUAAUAUGGAACGACUGAAAGUUCAGAAAAUGUCCUUACAGCACAAUAUGUGAUGGAGUUUUUGCAUGGUUUUUCCUCUCCAACCGACUUGCUAUGCCUGCUGCUGUGCCAGUGAAAGCAGAUAGACGCAAAAGAAAAAAAAUAGAUGCAAUACUCCAUCACUGUGUCAUUGCUCUUCUUCUACUUAGCAGGAGUUUGCCUUAGCUGCUUUCCUCCCCUCUGAGGAAAAAUGAAUAGCGAGAGCCGUGACGACUGGCAGCAAGGCUGGGAACAGCGGGUGUAAGCUGUACAGCUGCACUAAGACAAAAGUGCACUUUCCUACCUACAGCUGUAUUAAGGUUGCCCCAGGGAUGCCACAGUGCCUACAUGUGACUUAGCAUAUGGCCAGCUAAGGCAUCGGUGUCACCAACACUUGGUGUCCUCUCUAAGUCAGAGAGAGCAACGACUGAAGAACAAAAAAGACAUCUGGCUGUGUGGUCUUCCUCUCAGCUAAUGGAAUGACUGAGUGAGAAAACAGAGAAAAAAUGGGGGUGAAGAACUUAUGAAUUUAACCAGGACAUUUUCAUUUCAUCGGCCGUUGCCUACCAGUCUAUUACACAGGAAUCUAAAAAGGACUUCAUUUUGCCUCCAAGGCUGCAGUUGCUAUGCUAGACACUAAAGUUAGAUGCUUCAGAUAAGAUAUUAAUACAAAGGCUUCUUGCACAGAAUGGGUGAAGCCCUGCUAAAUAGGGAAAAUUAAAACAGCUCAGUUUCUCCCUGCUUUAUGUUAGUUUGGCACUGCGGUGCUUGGCCACGCCGCGAUGUGCCAUCAAACAAAGCGUGGGGAGGUGGGAUGGUGGUGCCUUAACUAUACCUACUGAAAAGAAACAGCGGUAUUUCCUCUGCUCCAUCGCCUGCAUGUGUUUAUUUCCAGCUGCACCUACCAGAGCAUGGCUCUCUCAUGGGCCCAUGCGCAGGGGUGCCCAUAUCAGCACCCACAUCAGGACCUACUGACACGGAUGUGAUAGAAUUUCCUUAGCGUUGGCGGUCCAAACCAUCAGACUUUCACUAAAAGAGGUGGACUAGAAUAAGAAAAGCUGAGCAUUUCUACACAGCAGAAAAUAACUUGCUUGUUUAUUUUCUGAACCGCAACAAGGGACAAAAAAAAAAAAAAGACAGAAAUUAAGCAUGAAGAAUACCAGCGUAUCUUAAUGGAAAUCAAUGAUUUAGGCUGGCAUUACAAAAGCUGUAAAAAGGCAAAACAAAACAAACAAAGCAUUUCAAUUCAAU
ensembl:lncRNA